CUAUACAUGCAAGUCGAGCGGACAGAUGGGAGCUUGCUCCCUGAUGUUAGCGGCGGACGGGUGAGUAACACGUGGGUAACCUGCCUGUAAGACUGGGAUAACUCCGGGAAACCGGGGCUAAUACCGGAUGCUUGUUUGAACCGCAUGGUUCAGACAUAAAAGGUGGCUUCGGCUACCACUUACAGAUGGACCCGCGGCGCAUUAGCUAGUUGGUGAGGUAACGGCUCACCAAGGCGACGAUGCGUAGCCGACCUGAGAGGGUGAUCGGCCACACUGGGACUGAGACACGGCCCAGACUCCUACGGGAGGCAGCAGUAGGGAAUCUUCCGCAAUGGACGAAAGUCUGACGGAGCAACGCCGCGUGAGUGAUGAAGGUUUUCGGAUCGUAAAGCUCUGUUGUUAGGGAAGAACAAGUGCCGUUCAAAUAGGGCGGCACCUUAACGGUGCCU
rnacentral:rRNA from 1 species